rnacentral:rRNA from 1 species
GACGAGGGGUCCUAGCGUUGUUCGGAAUCACUGGGCGUAAAGCGUUUGUAGGCGGCUCUAUAAGUCGGGUGUGAAAUCCCACGGCUCAACCGUGGAAGUGCAUUCGAAACUGCAGAGCUUGAAUAUGGAAGAGGAGAGUAGAAUUGCUGGUGUAGUGGUGAAAUACGUAGAUAUCAGCAGGAAUACCGGUGGCGAAGGCGGCUCUCUGGUCCAAUAUUGACGCUGAGAAACGAAAGUGCGGGGAUCAAACAGG